UUUCAAAGAAGAGAAGGGGUGGGAGUGAAUGGAUGUUUAUCAACCAACUCUCCAGUCAUCUUGGGUAAGGGGCUUCCAGGGGCUCUAACAUCUGCUACACUCAGGACUUUCUCUGUCCUUGAUCUCAGAACCCCUUGCCCAGGAAAAGACCCAGGAAGGGGUUGCAAUGACAAUUUGUAUAAGUCUUUAUUAAAGGUGAAAUCUAAAGGCAGUUGGAGUGCUGGUGCAUUGAUGGCAGCUGCUGCAUUUUUCUUAUUUUUAUAGAUGAGAAAACUGAGACUAGGCAGUUAAUUUACCCAAAGUCAAAUAGCUAGUAAGACUAAAACUGAUUUGUCUCCAAAAUCCUUUUAAAACUUUUUCUAUGGGGCCGGGCUUGGUGGCUCACACCUGUAAUUCCAGCAGUUUGGGAGGCCGAGGUGGGUGAAUCACGAGGUCAGGAGUUCGAGACCAGCCUGGCCAACAUGGUGAAAACCCAUCUCUACUAAAAAAAUAAAGAAUUAGCCAGGCAUGGUGGCAGGCACCUGUAAUCUCAGCUACUCAGGAGGCUGAGGCAGGAGAAUCGUUUGAACCCUGGAGGCGGAGGUUGUGGUAAAAUGAGAUCGCUCCAUUGCACUCCAGCCUGGGCAACAGAGUAAGACUCUGUCCAAAAAAAAAAAAAAAAAAAGGAAAAAAAAAUUCUAUGAAACACAUAACUAAUAAUAAUAAUUUUUUAAACAAAAGAAUCAGUGCAGACGGUAACACUCAUGCCAACAGAGAAUCAGAUUGACUGCUAUCACUUUCUUUGGUCACACUAAUUUUUAGGAGUGUCAGCAAUGCUUAUUUAUCCACAUUGAAUUAACUCAAAUUUUUAUAUUUUUGAGACUCAAGAUUCUCUCAUUUCUUAGUAGUAAACACUUCAGGGUGUGCCUUGAACAUAUUAGCACAGGUAGGGGAAGUCUGCAGUUGGGAGCGUGGGUGUCCCAAUGAUGCUCCACAAUGAGGGUCUGGAAAGAUGUCUGCAGUAUUUUAUAUCUCCUUCUGUCUUUUCCCUUAUCAGGAAGUUUGUUUUGCUAUUAUGUUCUCUUAACACUCAGCCCAUAUGCAUAAUUCCAAUAAUGUCUGAAGCAAAUCUUUUCAUUAUUCAUGAGACAUCUGCAGCACCUUUCUGAAUACUAUGCAAGACACUGUACAGAAGACAAAUGUUGAGG
rnacentral:lncRNA from 1 species